rnacentral:misc_RNA from 1 species
UCCAGCUUAUCGCUGGCGGUCUCCUGCGAGUUCCCAACUGAAUGGUGGCAACACAGGACAAGGGUUGCGCUCGUUGCGGGACUUAACCCAACAUCUCACGACACGAGCUGACGACAGCCAUGCACCACCUGUGCACAGGCCCCGAAAGGCUGCCGUAUUUCUACGACAUUCCAGUGCAUGUCAAGCCUUGGUAAGGUUCUUCGCGUUGCAUCGAAUUAAGCCACAUACUCCACCGCUUGUGCAGGCCCCCGUCAAUUUCUUUGAGUUUUAAUCUUGCGACCGUACUUCCCAGGCGGCACGUUUAACGCGUUAGCUUCGCCACGAAAGGAUUCGACACCUCUCACAGCAAACGUGCACCGUUUACAGCUAGGACUAC